UGGAGCGCGGGACCUGAACUUGUAGUAGUCAAGCGAUGGGGUGACGCAGGAGGGUAGCUCCGCCAGUGAGUGGUAGUACUGGUGUAAGCGUGUAGGCCGUAGCAUAGGCAAAUCCGUGCUGCAUAUAGGCUGAGACGUGAUGCAUAGCCGAUUGAGGCGAAGUAGAGUGAUCCCAUGCUGCCGAGAAAAGCCUCUAGUGAGUGUUCAUGCGGCCCGUACCCCAAA
rfam:Saccharothrix sp. NRRL B-16348 P442contig252.1, whole genome shotgun sequence.